GGCCAGUUAGCUCAGUUGGUUAGAGCAUGGUGCUGAUAACACCAAGGUCAAGGGUUCGGACCCCCUUACCAGCCA